rnacentral:rRNA from 1 species
AUUGACUCUGGCGGCAGGCCUAACACAUGCAAGUCGAGCGAGCGGCGGACGGGUGAGUAAUGUCUGGGAAACUGCCUGAUGGAGGGGGAUAACUACUGGAAACGGUAGCUAAUACCGCAUACCAUCGGAUGUGCCCAGAUGGGAUUAGCUUGUAGGUGAGGUAACGGCUCACCUAGGCGACGAUCCCUAGCUGGUCUGAGAGGAUGACCAGCCACACUGGAACUGAGACACGGUCCAGACUCCUACGGGAGGCAGCAUUGGGGAAUAUUGCACAAUGGGCGCAAGCCUGAUGCAGCCAUGCCGCGUGUAUGAAGAAGGCCUUCGGGUUGUAAAGUACUUUCAGCGGGGAGGAGUUACCCGCAGGAGAAGAACCGGAUAACUCUGUGACAGAAGCCGCGGUAAUUC